GACGAACGCUGGCGGCGUGCUUAACACAUGCAAGUCGAACGAUGAAGCCCUUUCGGGGGUGGAUUAGUGGCGAACGGGUGAGUAACACGUGGGUAACCUGCCCUGUACCCUGGGAUAAGCCUUGGAAACGAGGUCUAAUACCGGAUAUGACCUGCUCUCGCAGUGGGGGGUGGGUGGAAAGUUUUGGCGGUGCAGGAUGGACCCGCGGCCUAUCAGCUUGUUGGUGGGGUGAUGGCCUACCAAGGCGACGACGGGUAGCCGGCCUGAGAGGGCGACCGGCCACACUGGGACUGAGACACGGCCCAGACUCCUACGGGAGGCAGCGAGGUGGGGAAUUAGUUGCACAAUGGGACGAAAGCCUGAUGCAGCGACGCCG
rnacentral:rRNA from 1 species